rnacentral:lncRNA from 1 species
UUUUUGACCUUGAACAAAUACCACAUGAUUGAACAAAGUCUUUUAUAGUCUUCCAAAUUUGUAGAUACUAAAAAUCUUUAAAUAUUAGCUCCUAAGUCUUAUUGUAUCUAAAAUAUUCUAGCGUUAGAAAGUCAUAAUAUGCUUGAAGAACAAAUAAACGUGCUUCUCUUUUUUGAACAUAUUGAUGUCUUUUAAAAUAAAGUAAAGUAUUCUUGAACUUGAACUUGGAAGUACCAUAAGACUAAAAAGAAGUAUUCUUGAUAUCAUGAAUAAAAAGAUCAAAGGACAUACUUGAUUGAAUUUUUUUGAAAAAAGUUGAAUUAAUAAUCAAUGUUGAUUUUACUACUUGAAGAUGAAAUUAUUUUGGCUUCAACGAAAUUAUCCUUUAUUG